GAAAACUGUGUUAAGGGUACGCAUGUCUCUGUGGAGUGCUCACCCACUUCCACGUUAAUCUCACGAGGAAGCUGUUCCGUUGAUCGAAUCAACUGGAACCUUCAUCGUCGUAAGCGACGGA